rnacentral:rRNA from 1 species
GGAUUAGUGGCGCACGGGUGAGUAAUAUAUAGAUAACGUGCCUCUUAGUCUGGGAUAGCCAUUGGAAACGAUGAUUAAUACUAGAUACUCCUUCUCCUUCUAAUUGGAGUUGGGAAAGUUUUUCGCUAAGAGAUCGGUCUAUAUCCCAUCAGCUUGUUGGUAGUGUAAGAGACUACCAAGGCUAUGACGGGUAGCGGGUUUGAGAGGAUGAUCCGCCACACUGGUACUGAGACACGGACCAGACUCCUACGGGAGGCAGCAGUGAGGAAUAUUGCACAAUGGGGGAAACCCUGAUGCAGCAACGCCGCGUGGAGGAUGACGCAUUUCGGUGUGUAAACUCCUUUUAUAUGUCAAGAAAAUGACGGUAGCAUAUGAAUAAGCACCGGCUAACUCCGUGCCAGCAGCCGCGGUAAUACGGAGGGUGCAAGCGUUAUUCGGAAUCACUGGGCGUAAAGGACGCGUAGGCGGGAUGCCAAGUCUGAUGUGAAAUCCUAUGGCUUAACCAUAGAACUGCAUUGGAAACUGGUAACCUAGAGUAUGGGAGGGGGAGAUGGAAUUAGUGGUGUAGGGGUAAAAUCCGUAGAUAUCACUAGGAAUACCGAAAGCGAAGGCGAUCUCCUGGAACAAUACUGACGCUAAGGCGUGAAAGCGUGGGGAGCAAACGGGAUUAGAUACCCCCGGUAGUCCACGCCCUAAACGAUGUUCACUAGUCGUCGGAAUGCUAGUCAUUUCGGUGAUGCACUUAACAGAUUAAGUGAACCGCCUGGGGGAGUACGGUCG